rnacentral:tRNA from 1 species
GCGCUCGUGGUGAAAUGGCAGACACGCAAGCUUGAGGUGCUUGUGCCGCAAGGCGUGGAGGUUCAAGUCCUCUCGAGCGCACCA